rnacentral:lncRNA from 10 species
UCAAAACUAUAAAACAAAAAUGUGCAUCCUUUGGCAGUUGCUAAAUGUAGUCCUUAGGUUAAAGUUAAAUCUCACUUGAGACUUUCUUUUUCUUCAAGCAGUUUAUCAAGCUUUAGGAUCUGCUGCCCUCCUAUGGAUGAUGGUUGAUAGUGCUGAAUAAGUAUGAUCGAAAUUUUUACUAGAGAUCAUUUUUCUUCUGCCUUCAACAUUUCUUCAAGAAGUGGUGGUCUAUAGAAGAUUAAUUUUCUUGGUUCU